rnacentral:piRNA from 1 species
AGGAGAACAAGCUCAGCUGCUCAGCAGG